GACAGCAGCCGCCGCGGUAAUACGUAGGUGGCAAGCGUUGUCCGGAAUUAUUGGGCGUAAAGGGCUCGCAGGCGGUUUCUUAAGUCUGAUGUGAAAGCCCCCGGCUCAACCGGGGAGGGUCAUUGGAAACUGGGAAACUUGAGUGCAGAAGAGGAGAGUGGAAUUCCACGUGUAGCGGUGAAAUGCGUAGAGAUGUGGAGGAACACCAGUGGCGAAGGCGACUCUCUGGUCUGUAACUGACGCUGAGGAGCGAAAGCGUGGGGAGCGAACAGGAUUAGAUACCCCAGUAGUCCCUGUCUCUUAUAC
rnacentral:rRNA from 1 species